AUCCACCCAGUAGCAAUACUGGUGAAGAUCUAGCGGCGAACGGGUGAGUAACGCGUGAGAAACCUGCCCCGAACUCUGGGAUAACACGAGGAAACCCGUGCUAAUACCGGAUACCUUCUUUUGGCCGCAUGGUCAGAUGAAGAAAGAUUUAUCGGUUUGGGAGGGUCUCGCGGCCUAUCAGCUUGUUGGCGGGGUAAUGGCCCACCAAGGCAUCGACGGGUAGCUGGUCUGAGAGGACGAUCAGCCACACUGGGACUGAGACACGGCCCAGACUCC
rnacentral:rRNA from 1 species